ACGUGACGUGAAUUAAAUUGCUCCAUCCACUCGCAUAUCUAAAGCGAAAUUGGUGAGACUCUUAUAAUUAGUGAUCUAGGAAGUGAAGAAUUGGGAAGGUGUAGAAUUCUUCUGGCAUUUAAAAAAUUUCAUUUUUCAUCUCACAAGUGAUUGUGGAUGGAAUGUCAGGCAGAAGCUGAUGUAUCAUUAUGCGCAGUUCGGCAUGCAGAGACUGUACAAAAAAAUAAUAAUUUCUGUUCGUGCUGCAAAAUAAAAUCAUCUCACAUGGUAAAAUCAAUAAAUUCAAGACAACAAAUCAAAUAAUUGGUGGAAAAUAGUGGUUCUGUUGACGAAACGGGGCUGAACUGGGGGCUAAAUUUUGUGGAUAAGGCACAACAACGGAUAAAACGACAUCGAUGGGGAACAUCUAGGGAAUCAGAUUUCAGGCACCAACAUGAACAACAACUUGAAUAUCAUCGCAGAAUAAUGAAAGGAUAAUUCAGUUCUUAAAUGACAAAAUAAGUGGCUAAGGAACAAAAUGUCAAGAUUUUCUGUUCCAGAGGGAAGAGAUUCUUCAAACAAAAUUCCGUAGACCAAUUUAGAAAAUCUCAUUCCACACAAUCCAAUUCUUCAAAUGUCUUUAUUAAUUAUCCUCGGAAAUAAAUUUUCAGUAGCUAAUUAUAUAAACUUCAAAUGAGGUCUCAAUCAUUUUCAUUUAUCAUGUAACAUUUUUCGAGAUGAAAAUGAACAUGAGAAAAACCAAUUCAGAGAAAAAUUGAUAGUACUCUAUUUUCGAAUGCCAAUUACAGAGGUAUGAUUUUAAGAAAUAAAAAUGAACUAAUUGCUCCUGGUAAAACUUUAAAAGAAAGCCUCUGACAUUUUGUUCUACCAUUACUCAUUAACGAGAUCGUUACAUACGAAAAAAGCUUGAUAGAAAACUCCCAUGGAUUUUCCAGAUAAUUAUAUCGAAUUUCUACUACACUUUAUUGAGUUUUCGUAAAUUCUGUAAAAAAUUUUGCGAUUUCUCUGUUUUUCGGAGGGAAUGUUCACUUUAAAAC